rnacentral:tRNA from 1 species
GCCUGGCUAGCUCAAUCGGUAGAGCGUCAGACUCUUAAAACAGUCAAAUCUGAAGGUUGUGGGUUCGACCCCCACGUUAGGCU